rnacentral:lncRNA from 1 species
AGUCUGACAAACAAAUUGCAGGAGACCCUAUAGAUAGAUCUGUUUCAGUCUAACAAACAAAUUGCAGGAGACCCUACAUAUACUCACUCUAUCGCACAAAUGAAUGACAUCUAGAUCUAGGUACAUCCAUUCUUACGGACAGGGGGAGUAUGUUUCAGUCUGUACUAAUUGCAGGGACAACCUAUAGAUGGGUUCCAGUCUGUAAUAAACAGCAUUUCAUCACCAUUAUCCACAUUUGCAGCAGAUUGAUUAUUCUAAGACCCAUACCCAAUUAUUAUGUGGACGAAAAUGAUAUUCAAAUCUGUAGAAAGUAAACUUUUCGCCUUUGCUAACAGAAAGCAGGCAUGGCGGGACCGCCGGAACAAUACGAGAUACGGUGCAGGAGGCACCGCUUCUGGGGCUACUACACAUUGGAUCAGUUCCAGCGCCACCAACAUGACCAUGCCCGGGAGGAAGCGCUCAGACGCGCUAAGGAUCAACUUCACCGGGACCAGGCAGCCAGGAAGAGGGCUGCACAAGCAGCAAAGAAGGCAAGGCAGUCCCAGCAGAAAGAUAAGGGAGCAGCCUCACAUAAGAAGGGCAAGGGGCCUGCAAACAAGGCCAAAAAGUGACCGUAAGUCAAAAGGAACAAAACAGAAACAAUGUGGUUUUAACUUGAAAAAAAAAAGAAAAAUGUGGUUUCAAAAGUAUUAUUAUAAAGAUACUAAUGGAUGAAUCUUAACUUUUGUAGGGGUUCCAGAAUGGGAAGACGACACUAGAGUGAUGGCAAUUAAGUGGCAGAAUGCCUAUGGUCCUUUCCGUGAAUAACAAAGACCGUCAACCGUCAAAUUACUGUUGAAGUCUUCUACUUUUUCCUGAACUCUGGAUAUGCUACAGUUUACUGUUAAAGUUUUCAAGUGUUAAAUAGUCUAAACUCUGCAUAUGAUACAGCUUACUGUUAAAGUUUCCAAGUGUUAAAUAGUCUAAACUCUGCAUAUGCUACUAUUGAAUAGUCUGUUGAGAAGUGGCAGUCACAAGUACCCAAGGCCAUUUUGUGCUAUGAAAAAUUCUGUUGCAUGACUUUACAAUAUUACUCCCUCAAUUCCUAAAUAUAAGUCUUUUUAGAGGUUCCACUAGGAGGCUACAUACGAAUGUAUAUAGACAUACUUUAGAGUGUAGAUUCACUCAUUUUGCUCCGUAUGUAGUCCCUUGGUGAAAUCUCUAAAAAGACUUGUAUUUAGGAACGGAGGGAGUAGCAUUCAAGCUAGUAGAUCUAGUCCAGUAGCAGUAAAAUGAACUCAUUUAUACCCACCAGAACACCAAACUUAGGCUGAGAGUGGUUACAAAGCAGAGCAUAUUUUUAGCUACGGAAAAGUGAACAAAGAAAAUGGACAAUAAACGAGGGUCACGAUCCUGUAAACAAGAAUUUUACCUGCGUAGUGAUUCAUUAGAUAUUUUCAUGUGUAGUGAUUCAUUAGAUAGAAUCCAUUUGACAAUGUACUUGCGCGCCAUCAUGUAUUCUGCAUUUAAGGGUUUGCCAGGUUUAAUUAUGCAAACCUUGACCAACAACUGCAUUAGCAUCACUCCUUCUCACUGCCUUUAAGCCUGCCAUCAGGACCACACAGCAUAGGAUCAUUUAGCGCUCGCUUUUACGGCAGAGAAAAAUAGCAGUCCAGGAAUGUGUAGUUUCAAUCAACAACUGUUCCCUAUCAUAUAUGGACAAGCACUUAAAUUGAACUUAACACUACCUUAUAUUAACGAGACACAACAACAUUUUCUUCUAUUUCUUUUAGCAAAUGCAUCAAAAUGCAUUUAGUUGCACUAUGGUUCUGUGAACUAUCAAGAACAAUCUAGUGGUGGUAUAACUAGUGAUGGUAUGAUAGUUUAAAGGUCUGGUCAUACAACAGCUUAAUGCAAAUGGAUGAGAUAAGCCAAAGGAUUUAACCACACACAGUGAUGUAGAUACCCAUUUAAACCGAAUUGUGACAAGUGAUGAUGUCAUUUUGAGUUGAAGUACUUAGCUGAUAAAAAACAUAUGAAGAUUUAAGCACACAUUAGUGAUGUUGAUGUUCAUUUAAAAUUAUGUACUGAUCUUUUGAAAACAGUUAAAUAUGUUCCAGAAAAGCAUACACACUAGAAGAAGGCAGGAUGGCGCCUGGAACUAAUCGCUGACUACUUGAGCCAAACAAGCACGAAGGAGUUUGCAAGAUGGUUCCUAGUCUACUCACACUAGGCAACCUUUUGCAACAGGCACAACAGAUAUUAUGGCUUAUCCAGGGCCACAACAUGGUAGGCUAUAAAAUGACCUACCAAAACGUCUUAUAUUUCGAUACGGACCUAGUACAUCAUUAAGGCCCAGCAGUUUGAUCGUCCAACAAAAAUCACACAAAAUUGCAAGCACGCAAGGAAGUACCUCUAGGACCUCUGUUGUCAACCCAUAUGGUGGACCGUACUGCAUCAGUAACACCAAUAGUCUCAGUGCCCUUUAGCUCCGAGUUCCUCUGCAGUUAAUGUUUAACAAACUUAGUAACCAUAUUCAUUUUACAUAAAUUAUACUCCCUCUGUACCUAAAUACUUGUAGUUGGGGAGAACAAUUGCAUCAUUUUAGAUUAUUUUUAAUCCUCAUACUGCCUUGGUUAUCCACAUUUUGAUCCCUUAUUUAAUCUGAAAUUCAUUCAGCAAAGCAGCAGAUAGUACUUACUUGAUAGACAGGUACCCACCCUGAAAUCAGAUGGUUCCUUGUUUGUUUUGGUCAGAUGCUUCUUAUUAAUUAGAACUGUUUAGACCAAAUGAACGGGGUGAUGUUCUUGCUAGAGUCACACACAAAAAAGAUCGCUGAUGUCGGGGUUAACCCAUGAUGCCCUUAUGCAUGCAAAAUCCAUCUUCAAGCACCCAUGUAACCAUGGCUUCAACCUUCUCUCUUUUCAGCUUAAGAUGCAUGGGUUGUAAGACCUAAUUUUCAGGUAGACAAAAAUCCACUGUCAUAAAUGAGAAUACAUAAGUAUUAAAGGGGCAAAAAUUCACUUAAUUAGAAAUCAGGAAUUUUUAUUUUGUUGCCUAGUUCUUUUCUCAAAGCUUAUAGAAUAAUAUUCAGAAAGCUAGUUACUGAAUAGUUUAGUGCUUACCUUUUACUCAAUAAAGAAUAUUGGGCUGUAUUGUCCAUUCACAUCAUGAGACACGUAGUCUCCGCUUUCUGUUGCUAGGCAGCUCAUGUACUCAUCACACUGCAGAUGCUUCACUUUCCUGCAUGUUAAAUAUGUUAAAGUCAGUUUUUAAAUAAAAAAACAUGUUGCGCAAGCAGUGAAACAAAAUCACAGAACAAAAAUAAUCAACAAUUGGCAAUUCCUAAAGGAUUUUUCAUGAUUUUCCUAUAAACCUUUCUUGAUUUACAUAUUUUGCUAGCAAGUUAUUAUGCAGCGACAUAUCUCCCUCCUGCUGAACGGUAUCAUCAAUGUUACUCCCUCCGUUCUUAAAUACUAUACUCCCUCCGCCCGGAAAUACUUGUUAUAAGAAUGGAUGUAUCUAGAUGUAUUUUAGUUCUAGAUACAUCGUUUUCUAUCCAUUUGUGCAACAAGUACUUCCGGACGGAGGGAGUAUAAGUCUUUCUAAAGAUUUCACUACGGACUACGUACGGAGCAAAAUGAGUGAACCUACACUGUAAAAUAUUGUAUGUAGUCCGUGGUGAAAGCUCUAGAAGGACUUAUAUUUAGGAACGGAGGGAGUAGAUAAUACUACCUCCGUCCGGAAUAACUUGUCGAGCAAAUAAAUAAAAAUGGAUGCAUCUAAAAUCAAGAUGCAUCCAUUCUUAUGACGAGUAUUUCCGGACACCUCCGUCACAGGUUGUAAGACGUUUUUUAGGCUAUUAGUUACCUAGCCUAAUAGUCUACUCCCUCCGUUCCUAAAUAUAAGUUUUUUUAGAGGUUUCACUGAGAAACUACAUGCGGAUGUAUAAAGACAUGCUUUAGAGUGUAGAUUCACUCAUUUUACUUCGUACGUAUUUUCCUAGUGAAAUCUCUAAAAAGACUCACACUCCCUUCGUGCCUAAAUAAUUGUAAGCUAGUUCUCCCCAACUACAAUUAUGUAGGUACAGGGGAAGUAUUUAGGAACAGAGGGAGUGUAUGUACCAAAUAAGUACAACACACGGGGAAAAUUGAUCGGCGAUCGAAGUAUAGUGUAGGAGUGGAUCUGUUCACCACAGGCCAAUGAAUGAUUUCUGUAUGAAUUACUACCAUUGUAAUGCAAGCACAGAUGGACUCCUUCUAAUGCACCACGUACAGUACAUGAUUGCAGUAUAGAUGAUUCGAAGAGGAAACAACCCUUCUAAUGCACGCGCUUUGUAGAAUCAGGCAUUGAGAAGGCACGCAUAAUUGACAUUUUGCCAGAGAGAGGCAGCCUCGCAGUGAGAUCCAACCCAUCCUAGAACGAACUACCCAUGGGGGAAAGCGGCGGCCAGGCAGAUCCCAACCCGCGGCAGGUAAAAAUCCCAUCUUUACGAACGAAUCGGGCAUGGAGACCCCGGAACGAGAAAAUAAUAGUGCCCAAAUCCACAGAUCCCAAAUCGUCUAGAGAUAGAUCUAUCGCGAUGAAACCUAUAUGACGUGACCGAUUAGUGCAUAAAGGCGUCACCUUUACGAAGAUCCAGCGCCGGGGGGCGUCCACCGGCCGUUGUUCGUCCGGCCUGGGCGCAGAUCUGGCGACGGCCGAACCGCGUGGACGAAUCAGGGGGGAAAGAGAGACGGUGAGCGGAGGUUGAAGAUGGAGGGGAGAGGAAUUGGCGUGGACAGGGCACGAUGGCCUUGCCUGGCGGCGGCGUUCGGGGCGGGGGAGGCCAUGGCGCGGCGGCGAUGGGGCGCAUGAGGAGAGGAGAGGACGAGAACGAGGACGAGAGAGGGCUGGCUAGGUUUGGGGGUCGUGGGUGGGUUGGGUGUGGGCGAAGGAGAGACGGUGGAUACUGUAAGUCUUUUGCGAGGAGGCGAUUGCGCUGCGUGCGAUCUCCUUCGCUGUUGCGGACGCCUAGCGAGACCAGCCCGCACACGUUUCCACGCUUGCGACGUGUG